rnacentral:rRNA from 1 species
UACAGAGGUCCCAAGCGUUGUUCGGAUUCACUGGGCGUAAAGGGUGCGUAGGCGAUCGGAUAAGUCUGAUGUGAAAUCUUCGAGCUCAACUCGGAAACUGCAUCGGAAACUAUUCGGCUAGAGGAUUGGAGGGGAGACUGGAAUUCUCGGUGUAGCAAUGAAAUGCGUAGAUAUCAGGAGGAACACCCGGUGGCGAAGGCGGGUCUCUGGGCCGAUACUGACGCUGGAGGAGCGAAAGACGUGGGGAGCGAACAGG